GAUGAAGAACGUAGCGAAAUGCGAUAAGUAGUGUGAAUUGCAGAAUUCAGUGAAUCAUCGAAUCUUUGAACGCACAUUGCGCCCCUUGGUAUUCCAUGGGGCAUGCCUGUUCGAGCGUCAUUUGUACCUACAAGCUUUGCUUGGUGUUGGGUGUUUGUCCCGAGGGACUCGCCUUAAAGUAAUUGGCAGCCAGUGUUUGGUUUUGAAGCGCAGCACAAGUCGCGAUUCAAGGCUACACGCCCGCUUCCACAAGCCUUUUUUCACUUUUGACCUCGGAUCAGGUAGGGAUACCCGCUGAACUUAAGCAUAUCAAUAAGCGGAGGA
rnacentral:misc_RNA from 1 species